AUGAUGGCCUCCUUCACUUGCAUCAACACCUCUUUGGACGGCAUAUUGAGAGUUCCCAUGAACAGCUACCAAAUGCAAAUUCAACACUUGGAAUCAGCUCCAGACCUUUUAUCUCCUUAAUUUAUCAUGAUAUAAGGAGGAAACAGGCCACAGCUGGCCAUGAAACUGCUUAUCAGUCAAUUGUCCCACUACUUUUGAGCCUGUGAAAAUGGAGGAACUCUGUAAAAAAUGGCUGUAAUUCCUAAACGGUUAAUGCAAUAUUUUUGUUAAACCCCUUGAAUUAAAGCUGAAAGUCUACGCUUCAGUCACAUCUUGACUGCUUCAUUUCAAAUCCACUGUGGUGGUGUACAGAGGCAAAAUUACCAAAACUGUGUCACUGUCCCAAUAUUUAUGGACCUGACUGUAUCUCCACCUUGGUCUCUUCAAUCCAAAGGAUAUUGUUCCAGAACUUUUGUAGUUUGCUCAAACUUUGCAAACCUAAGUCAUGCUGCCAUAUUCUUUUUGGAGAGAAGGGGCUUUUUCCUAGUGUGGCAAGGUGGGUGACAGUCUAUCCUUAUUGGCUCAUUGGUGUGUGAUUGUCACCCACAAUAGCCUAUUAGAAUCGGUGUUCGCGGGUAUUUAAGCCUGACGGUAUGUCAUUUGGCGUGCAUCAUAGCUAGGACCGCCCUCUUCCGGAUUUCAUCUGCACCUGUGUAGUGGUGUGUGAGUUUGGUUGUUUGUAGCUGUUCAGUUAAAUGGAGAAGUGGGCAUGUAUUUUAAAACAAAAGUUUCUUUUUCUCUCAGUGCGAUGAAUGGUCAUUCGAUGUUGCACUGGGUUGCCGGCUGUCCAUUUGCAUGUCAGCUGUGAGAUUUUUCUGGGGAUGUGUCUACCUGCUUGAGACUCUGUGUUUAUAAACUGUGGGCAACGGUACCACUCGUGUUGCACGACCUAUUUUGUGUGCCGCUCUGUCUCUCUCUUUUUCGGACGCCGUGCCGAUUGGUCAUGUGAGGACGCCGGAAUUCUUUUUAUUUUGCGUUCAGAGGACGGCGCUGCUGUUUUUCCUUAAACUGUUUUUCCUUAAACUGUUUUUCCUUAAAUUGUUUUUCCUUAAACUGUUUUUCCUUAAACUGUUUUUCUUGGUAUUACAAAUUGCUUUUUUUGAUGUUAUAAAUUGUUUUUCUUUUUGAAGGUGUAAAACUGUUUUUUUUAGAUGUUAUUUUUUGUCAGUUAUGUCUUGGUUAUAUUUUGUUUGUUUAUUGUUUUUCUUUUGUGCACUUGUGCUUGUGCUUGAAGAGUUUAGAUCUGCCUCUCUGAGGAUUACAACUUGAGGCCCUGUCAGGCCCUGGGGCUAGGAGGCUAGCUGUUUUUUGAGUGCUGGUGGUGGUUUAACCGUGUGGAGUGCAGUGUGGUUUGGAUUUAUUUUUCACUGUGUGUGUGUGUGUCUGUGUCUGUGUGUUCGUGGAAACCACCAGGGUGCGGUAAGGAUCUUAGUGUCAGCUAGCCUGCCUUUGCUGCUGGAAAGCCCGUGCCUGUUACUUGUGUAAUUUUCUUUUUUUGAGUGUUUGUUUUUUUGUUGUACCCAGAGCUGCUUUAUUCUGAUACAUUGUUCUGGAUUGUGAUUGACUUUCAGCACUGUUGCUGUUUUUUUAUUAUUUAUUAUAGAAAUCUGAAUAAAGUGUUUUGUACAUUGUUCCCAUGUUUCUCCUUGAAUUUGUGGCCAAACGAAUCUGUGUCCCUUAUUUGGGUUAUUCCCCGUUUCGAUACGGGGUGGCGUAGUCGGUUUGUUUAGUGGGGGGGGGGGGGGGUAUGUUGAGUUAUUCAUUUAUUCCCCUCCCUCCAUCUCAGCAUUGCCACACUAGCCACCCUUCCACGAAAGCUAUACUUGUUCGGUCAUUCUCUGAUUUUGCUGUCAUUAACCUAAACAUGUAAUAUGCUUAUAGAAGCCUGUAGGUCAUGUGAU